CGUGAGUGAUGAAGGCCCUAGGGUUGUUAAAGCUCUUUCAGCAGGGAAGAUAAUGACGGUACCUGCAGAAGAAGCCCCGGCUAACUCCGUGC
rnacentral:rRNA from 1 species